rnacentral:rRNA from 1 species
ACGGACCUUUCGGGGUUAGUGGCGGACGGGUGAGUAACACGUGGGAACGUGCCUUUAGGUUCGGAAUAGCUCCUGGAAACGGGUGGUAAUGCCGAAUGUGCCCUUCGGGGGAAAGAUUUAUCGCCUUUAGAGCGGCCCGCGUCUGAUUAGCUAGUUGGUUGAGGUAACGGCUCACCAAGGCGACGAUCAGUAGCUGGUCUGAGAGGAUGGCCAGCCACAUUGGGACUGAGACACGGCCCAAACUCCUACGGGAGGCAGCAGUGGGGAAUCUUGCGCAAUGGGCGAAAGCCUGACGCAGCCAUGCCGCGUGAAUGAUGAAGGUCUUAGGAUUGUAAAAUUCUUUCACCGGGGACGAUAAUGACGGUACCCGGAGAAGAAGCCCCGGCUAACUUCGUGCCAGCAGCCGCGGUAAUACGAAGGGGGCUAGCGUUGCUCGGAAUUACUGGGCGUAAAGGGCGCGUAGGCGGACAUUUAAGUCAGGGUGAAAUCCCAGAGCUCAACUCUGGAACUGCCUUUGAUACUGGGUGUCUUGAGUGUGAGAGAGUAUGUGGAACUCCGAGUGUAGAGGUGAAUUCGUAGAUAUUCG